rnacentral:rRNA from 1 species
GACGAACGUUGGCGGCGUGCUUUAUACAUGCAAGUCAACUGAAGCAGUGGUAGCAAUAUCGCUGUGGAGGUGGCGCACGGGUGAGUAACACGUAGGUAAUCUGCCUUCAGGUCUGGCAUAACUCCGGGAAACCGGGGCUAAUAGCAGAUGAUGCAGCGGCUCGACAUCGAGACAGUUGUUAAAGCUAUGGCGCCUGAAGAUGAGCCUGCGUCUGAUUAGCUAGUUGGCGGGGUAACGGCCCACCAAGGCAACGAUCAGUAGCUGGUCUGAGAGGAUGAUCAGCCACACUGGAACUGAGGCACGGUCCAGACUCCUACGGGAGGCAGCAGUAAGGAAUAUUGCUCAAUGGGAGAAAUCCUGAAGCAGCAACGCCGCGUGAGGGACGAAGGGCUUUUGCUUGUAAACCUCUGUAGUGAGAGAAAAAAAUCCCAAUCUUUGGGACAUGAUGGUAUCUCAAAAGUAAGCCCCGGCUAACUACGUG